rnacentral:rRNA from 1 species
UACGUAGGGGGCUAGCGUUGUCCGGAUUUAUUGGGCGUAAAGAGCUUGUAGGCGGUUUGUCGCGUCUGCUGUGAAAUUUCGGGGCUCAACCCCGAACUUGCAGUGGGUACGGGCAGACUAGAGUGUGGUAGGGGAGACUGGAAUUCCUGGUGUAGCGGUGAAAUGCGCAGAUAUCAGGAGGAACACCGAUGGCGAAGGCAGGUCUCUGGGCCGAUACUGACGCUGAGGAGCGAAAGCGUGGGGAGCGAACAGG